UUGAAGUUGUUGAAGGAUGGACCAAGUAAUAACGAAGUUGGAGGGUCCAGCUCUCAAACACAAUAUAUGAAAGACCCUAAGAGAGUAAGGUGCAAUGGAGGGUCGAAACGAGUAACGGGAGCAAAGGAAAAGGCAAUGAAGCGAGGGAUUAGACACUGUCGGGAGUGUGGACACAUUGGUCAUGAUAGAAGACAAUGCCCAAGAAAUUUGAACACACCGACAUCACCGUCGAACAAUGACGAAUCAACUCCAAUAGAUCUUAGUGACCCAUUAUUUGACGAAUUUUACAGGAUGCACGGACCAACUCAAUGAUUUAGGUUUCUAUUAUACGAAGCCCGGUUAUUAUGAAGACUAAUGAUCAGGCUAAUGCAGCAUUUCCAGCAGCCAGCUAUUGUUUCCAUUACCAGUAAUGAUUUCCAGCAGCACGCAUCAUUUGUAGCAGCACCCACUUUUUGCGAAUGUUAUGUUCUAGUGUUUUACUGGUGAUUAAGAUCUGAGCUGGACUGGUUAUUAGGUGCACGAUUUUGCAAACAUUCGUAGCUGAAGGAUACUUGAAGCACUUUGUUGGAACAGAAAGAUUAGAAAGCAACGUGUAAAAAAGUACAUUGCAGCUAAUCACAUUUCGAAUGGUUGGGUAAUAUGAAAGGGUACACUAACAUUUGAACUACUCAUAAUUCCACACACAAAAGAAAAUUUGAUUGCAAAGCAUUUUAUGUGCUCCCUCUUAGCAAUACCACGAU